rnacentral:rRNA from 1 species
UACGUAGGGUGCGAGCGUUAAUCGGAAUUACUGGGCGUAAAGCGUGCGCAGGCGGCUUCGCAAGUCAGGCGUGAAAUCCCCGGGCUUAACCUGGGAAUGGCGUCUGAAACUACGGAGCUGGAGUGUGGCAGGGGGAGGUAGAAUUCCACGUGUAGCGGUGAAAUGCGUAGAUAUGUGGAGGAAUACCGAUGGCGAAGGCAGCCUCCUGGGCCAACACUGACGCUCAUGCACGAAAGCGUGGGGAGCAAACAGG